GCCUGUAUAGCUCAGCGGUAGAGCGCCCGCUUCACACGCGGGAGGUCCGAGGGUCGGCACCUCGUACAGGCA
rnacentral:tRNA from 1 species